rnacentral:rRNA from 1 species
ACGAACGCUGGCGGCGUGCCUAAUACAUGCCAGUUGAGCGCUGAAGGUUGGUACUUGUACCAACUGGAUGAGCAGCGAACGGGUGAGUAACGCGUGGGGAAUCUGCCUUUGAGCGGGGGACAACAUUUGGAAACGAAUGCUAAUACCGCAUAAAAACUUUAAACACAAGUUUUAAGUUUGAAAGAUGCAAUUGCAUCACUCAAAGAUGAUCCCGCGUUGUAUUAGCUAGUUGGUGAGGUAAAGGCUCACCAAGGCGAUGAUACAUAGCCGACCUGAGAGGGUGAACGGCCACAUUGGGACUGAGACACGGCCCAAACUCCUACGGGAGGCAGCAGUAGGGAAUCUUCGGCAAUGGACGAAAGUCUGACCGAGCAACGCCGCGUGAGUGAAGAAGGUUUUCGGAUCGUAAAACUCUGUUGGUAGAGAAGAACGUUGGUGAGAGUGGAAAGCUCAUCAAGUGACGGUAACUACCCAGAAAGGGACGGCUAACUACGUG